CGUGCGGGUGCUUACCAUGCAAGUCGAACGAUGAUGGGGAGCUUGCUUCUUGGAUUAGUGGCGAACGGGUGAGUAACACGUGAGUAACCUGCCCUUGACUCUGGGAUAAGCGCUGGAAACGGCGUCUAAUACCGGAUACGACCUACCCUGGCAUCGGGUGUGGGUGGAAAGUUUUUCGGUCAAGGAUGGACUCGCGGCCUAUCAGCUUGUUGGUGAGGUAAUGGCUCACCAAGGCGACGACGGGUAGCCGGCCUGAGAGGGUGACCGGCCACACUGGGACUGAGACACGGCCCAGACUCCUACGGGAGGCAGCAGUGGGGAAUAUUGCACAAUGGGCGAAAGCCUGAUGCAGCAACGCCGCGUGAGGGAUGACGGCCUUCGGGUUGUAAACCUCUUUUAGUAGGGAAGAAGGACUUCGGUUUGACGGUACCUGCAGAAAAAGCACCGGCUAACUACGUGCCAGCAGCCGCGGUAAUACGUAGGGUGCAAGCGUUGUCCGGAAUUAUUGGGCGUAAAGAGCUCGUAGGCGGUUUGUCGCGUCUGCUGUGAAAUCCCGAGGCUCAACCUCGGGUCUGCAGUGGGUACGGGCAGACUAGAGUGCGGUAGGGGAGAAUGGAAUUCCUGGUGUAGCGGUGGAAUGCGCAGAUAUCAGGAGGAACACCGAUGGCGAAGGCAGUUCUCUGGGCCGUAACUGACGCUGAGGAGCGAAAGCGUGGGGAGCGAACAGGAUUAGAUACCCUGGUAGUCCACGCCGUAAACGUUGGGCGCUAGAUGUGGGGACCUUUCCACGGUUUCCGUGUCGCAGCUAACGCAUUAAGCGCCCCGCCUGGGGAGUACGGCCGCAAGGCUAAAACUCAAAGGAAUUGACGGGGGCCCGCACAAGCGGCGGAGCAUGCGGAUUAAUUCGAUGCAACGCGAAGAACCUUACCAAGGCUUGACAUAUACGAGAACGGGUCAGAAAUGGUCAACUCUUUGGACACUCGUAAACAGGUGGUGCAUGGUUGUCGUCAGCUCGUGUCGUGAGAUGUUGGGUUAAGUCCCGCAACGAGCGCAACCCUCGUUCUAUGUUGCCAGCACGUGAUGGUGGGAACUCAUAGGAGACUGCCGGGGUCAACUCGGAGGAAGGUGGGGAUGACGUCAAAUCAUCAUGCCCCUUAUGUCUUGGGCUUCACGCAUGCUACAAUGGCCGGUACAAAGGGCUGCGAUACCGUAAGGUGGAGCGAAUCCCAAAAAGCCGGUCUCAGUUCGGAUUGAGGUCUGCAACUCGACCUCAUGAAGUCGGAGUCGCUAGUAAUCGCAGAUCAGCAACGCUGCGGUGAAUACGUUCCCGGGCCUUGUACACACCGCCCGUCAAGUCAUGAAAGUCGGUAACACCCGAAGCCGGUGGCCUAACCCUUGUGGAGGGAGCCGUCGAAGCGAUC
rnacentral:rRNA from 1 species